AGGUGGUAAAUUCCAUCUAAAGCUAAAUAUUGGYGCGAGACCGAUAGCGAACAAGUACCGUGAGGGAAAGAUGAAAAGAACUUUGAAAAGAGAGUUAAAGAGUACCUGAAACUGUUGAAAGGGAACCGUAUCGUUUCUAGUGUUUAUCCUAUGCAUAUUUCAUUGGCGGUUGCAAAAUUGCUGGUGCCCUGUGCAUGGGUGUGACGUCAGGGUCAGUUUAAAUUGCGGGAGAUGAGUAGAGAGGAGGUGCGUCACUUUUGUGAAAGUUACAGCUCUUUACUUAGUAGCCGUGGUUAAGACUGAGGUGCCUACAACAUGCUCUGGGGUCUGAUGUUAUCUCGUUUUAUUGAUUGCCUGGAUAGCUUGCUAUGCUGGUGAUUACUGAGGCGAUUGGUGAUGUUAGUAACCUCUGCUGUUCGGGACUCUGGCGAAAUGGAGCGAUACGACCCGUCUUGAAACACGGMCCAAGGASUCUAACAUGUGUGCAAGUAUUAGGGUGUGGAAACCCAAAUGCGCAAUGAAAGUAAAGGGCACAUUAGUGUCUGAGGUAGGAAGGAGCUGUAAUGGUUCUGGCACUAUCGACCGAUCAUGAACCUCCGGGUGAAAGAUUUGAGUAUGAGCAUAUAUGUUGGUACCCGAAAGAUGGUGAACUAUGCCUGAAUAGGGUGAAGCCAGGGGAAACUCUGGUGGAAGCUCGUAGCGAUUCUGACGUGCAAAUCGAUCGUCAAAUUUGGGUAUAGGGGCGAAAGACUAAU
rnacentral:rRNA from 1 species